GAGGAGAAGGAGGAGGAAGGGCAUCUGACUGGGCGCUGUUGCAGUCCAUCGACUGUUUUCUUCAGAGGGAAAGGUCAGAGGAUACAGUACGAUGGGACACCUGCUGAAGUAUGCUUCAAUUGCAACUUCAUGCAAAUAAGGCUCCUGUCCUGCAGAGGAGAAAAGGUGGGAAACCAAAUUGGAUCGAAUGUAAUUCAGUUCAGCGAGCUGGGAAUGAAUCGAUAAUGCUGAGAAAUGGCUUUCGAAGGACUGAGUGCCCACCUUGGGAACUACAACAUGGGGUGAGAGCACUAGUCAUCUGGAGAGACCUUGGAGUGAAGCGACUGCUGCUCUACAAUGACAAGAACCGGAAGAGGUCGUUUGGGCACCUGAUGUGGAUUCAUUUUUCUUGCAAGAAUUCCAGGCACUACUAAGAGAGAGGACAAAGCACCCACGCCUGGCUUAAAAAUAGAUAUUGGGAUGCAUGGAACACCCAAGGCCUUAUCAGGGGUGUUUCCUGGCCAAAGGUGUUUGGAGGAAUCUUCGCCAGUAGAAAACCUGAGGAAAUGUUAAAACCUAAAAGCACCUUAAAGCGUAGAUUAAUCAAACUUUAGUAGACAUCCUUCCUGCAAAUUUGCUGUCUCUCUACCACAUCAAAAUAAAAACUUUGAUAUACAUA